AUGUGGUAUGCUCCUAUAAUACCACGGUUGAAACGUCUGUUCAGAAAUGAAGAGCAUGCCAAGUUGAUGAGAUGGCACAGAGAGGGCCGUAAGAAAGACGAGAAGUUGAGAGUACCCGCCGACGGGUCGCAGUGGAGAAAAAUUGAGAGAAAGUACUGGGCUGAGUUUGCAGGUGACCCAAGGAACGUAUGGUUUAGUUUAAGCGCGGAUGGCAUUAAUCCUUUCGGGGAGCAGAGCAACAAUCACAUCACCUGGCCCGUGACUCUAUGCAUGUAUAACCUUCCUCCUUGGAUGUGCAUGAAGCGGAAGUUCAUUAUGAUGCCAGUUCUCAUACAAGGCCCUAAGCAACCCGGCAACGACAUUGAUGUGUACCUAAGGCCAUUAGUUGAAGAACUUUUACAGCUGUGGAAUGGAAACGGUGUACGUGUGUGGGAUGAGCAUAAACAGGAGGAAUUUAACCUGCACGCGUUGUUGUUUGUAACCAUCAACGAUUGGCCCGCUCUCAGUAACCUUUCAGGACAGACAAACAAGGGAUACCACGCAUGCACGCACUGUUUAGCUGACACCGAAAGUAUAUACCUGGACAAAUGCAGGAAGAAUGUGUACCUGGGCCAUCAUCGAUUUCUUCCGACCAACCAUCAAUGUCGAAAGAAAGGCAAGCAUUUCAAAGGCGAGGCAGAUCACCGGAAGAAGCCCACCAUGCGUACCGGUGAUCACGUACUUGCUAUGGUCAAUGAUUUACAUGUAAUCUUUCAAAAGGGUCCCGACAGACUAGCUGUUCCGAAUGAUGCUGAGGGACGCGCACCCAUGUGGAAGAAGAAAUCUAUAUUUUGGGACAUACCCUACUGGAAAGACCUAGAGGUCCGCUCUUCAAUCGACGUGAUGCACGUGACGAAGAACCUUUGCGUGAACCUGCUAGUCUUCUUGGGCGUGUAUGGGAAGACAAAAGAUACACCUGAGGUACAGGAGGACCUGCAACGUUUGCACGAAAAAUACGGCAUGCCUCCAAAGCAGUAUGAAGGUCCUGCCAGCUACGCUCUUACCAAAGAAGAGAAGGAAAUCUUCUUUGAAUGCCUGCUCAGUAUGAAGGUCCCGACUGGCUUCUCGUCGAAUAUAAAGGGAAUAAUAAAUAUGCCAGAGAAAAAGUUCCAGAACCUAAAUUCUCAUGACUGCCACGUGAUUAUGACGCAACUACUUCCGGUUGCAUUGAGGGGGCUUCUACCGGAAAACGUCCGAUUAGCCAUUGUGAAGCUAUGUGCAUUCCUCAAUGCAAUCUCUCAGAAGAUGAUCGAUCCAGAAAUCAUACCAAGGCUAAGGAGUGAUGUGGCACAAUGUCUUGUCAGUUUCGAGCUGGUGUUCCCACCAUCCUUCUUCAAUAUCAUGACGCACGUCCUAGUUCAUCUAGUUGACGAGAUUAUCAUUCUGGGCCCCGUAUUUCUACACAAUAUGUUCCCCUUUGAGAGGUUCAUGGGAGUCCUAAAGAAAUAUGUCCGUAACCGCGCUAGGCCAGAAGGAAGCAUCUCCAUGGGCCAUCAAAUAGAGGAUGUCAUUGGGUUUUGUGUUGACUUCAUUCCUAGCCUUAAGAAGAUAGGUCUCCCUGUAUCGCGGUAUGAGGGGAGACUGACUAGAAAAGGCACGCUUGGAGGGGACUCAAUAAUAUGA
rnacentral:rRNA from 1 species